rnacentral:rRNA from 1 species
GACAGAGGCCUCGAGCGUUAGGCGGAAUCACUGGGCUUAAAGCGUGUGUAGGCGGAUCGUUAAGUACCUUGUGAAAUCCCACGGCUCAACCGUGGAACGGCUGGGUAUACUGGCGGUCUUGGGCCAUUCAGGGGCGACUGGAACAAGCGGUGGAGCGGUGAAAUGCGCAGAUAUCAGGAGGAACACCGGUGGCGAAGGCGGGUCUCUGGGCCGUAACUGACGCUGAGGAGCGAAAGCAUGGGGAGCGAACAGG